rnacentral:rRNA from 1 species
UACGAAGGGGGCUAGCGUUGUUCGGAAUUACUGGGCGUAAAGCGCACGCAGGCGGCUCGAUAAAUUAGACGUGAAAGCCCCGGGCUUAACCUGGGAAUUGCUUUUAAGACUGUCGGGCUAGAAUCCAGAAGAGGGUAGUGGAAUUCCGAGUGUAGAGGUGAAAUUCGUAGAUAUUCGGAAGAACACCGGUGGCGAAGGCGGUCUGCUGGGCAGUUGCUGACACUGAGGCGCGACAGCGUGGGGAGCAAACAGG